GCGGUUGUGGUGAAAUGGUAGACACGCAAUGUUGAGGUCGUUGUCCUGAAAAGGAUGGAGGUUCAAGUCCUCUCAACCGCACCA
rnacentral:tRNA from 1 species